rnacentral:rRNA from 1 species
GGACGACCUCGGGAGGCCUAUACUAGGUGUUGCAUGGCUGUCGUCAGCUCGUGUCGUGAGAUGUUCGGUUAAGUCCGCUAACGAGCGCAACCCUUCGUCGUAUGUUAUAUGUGUCAUACGAGACUGCCGGUAAAAGCCGGAGGAAGGUGAGGAUGAUGUCAAGUCAGCAUGACCUUUAUAUCCAGGGCUACACACACGCUACAAUGGUCUGUACAAUGGGUAGCCAAGCCGCGAGGCGGAGCCAAUCCUGAAAGCAGGCCUCAGUUCAGAUUGCAGUCUGCAACUCGACUGCAUGAAGCCGGAGUUGCUAGUAACCGCAGGUCAGCAAUACUGCGGUGAAUACGUUCCCGGGUCUU